GAUGAACGCUGACAGAAUGCUUAACACAUGCAAGUCAUUGGCGAAGCUGCGCUUGCGCAGUCUAGCCAAGGCGGACGGGUGAGUAACGCGUAAGGAACUUGCCCUGCAGACAGGGAUAACAGACGGAAACGACUGAUAACACCUGGUAUUGUCAGGCUGGCGCAUGCCGGCCUGAUGAAAGGAGACGCUGCAGGAGAGCCUUGCGUCCUAUUAGCUAGUUGGUGGGGUAACGGCCCACCAAGGCGAUGAUAGGUAGCCGGCCUGAGAGGGUGAACGGCCACAAGGGGACUGAGAUACGGCCCUUACUCCUACGGGAGGCAGCAGUGGGGAAUAUUGGACAAUGGGGGCAACCCUGAUCCAGCAAUUCUGUGUGCACGAAGAAGGUUUUCGGAUUGUAAAGUGCUUGCAGCAGGGAAGAAGAAAGUGACGGUACCUGCAGAAGAAGCGACGGCUAAAUACGUG
rnacentral:rRNA from 1 species